rnacentral:rRNA from 1 species
AUUGAACGCUGGCGGUAUGCCUUACACAUGCAAGUCGAACGGCAGCACGGGUGCUUGCACCUGGUGGCGAGUGGCGAACGGGUGAGUAAUACAUCGGAACAUGUCCUGUAGUGGGGGAUAGCCCGGCGAAAGCCGGAUUAAUACCGCAUACGAUCUACGGAUGAAAGCGGGGGACCUUCGGGCCUCGCGCUAUAGGGUUGGCCGAUGGCUGAUUAGCUAGUUGGUGGGGUAAAGGCCUACCAAGGCGACGAUCAGCAGCUGGUCUGAGAGGACGACCAGCCACACUGGGACUGAGACACGGCCCAGACUCCUACGGGAGGCAGCAGUGGGGAAUUUUGGACAAUGGGCGAAAGCCUGAUCCAGCAAUGCCGCGUGUGUGAAGAAGGCCUUCGGGUUGUAAAGCACUUUUGUCCGGAAAGAAAUCCUUGGCCCUAAUACGGUCGGGGGAUGACGGUACCGGAAGAAUAAGCACCGGCUAACUACGUG